GGGUGCCUAUGCCACACCUUACAGAUCUUUAAUGAAGAACUCUACAAAACCUCCUGUGUGCUGAGAACUUCAGAGAUGUAGCAGAAUAUAACACACAAGAGAGCUGCACAAUAGAGAGGCUGCUAUUUUGGAAAAUUAAAGGAUUUCAGUGACCUAAGAUGUCAGCUACCAGCACAGAAUGCUGAGUUUGUGAGAUGCAGCAAAGUUAAGGAGGGAUGCAAUUGCUCAGUUGGAGGUGAAAAGGAAAACUCAGCUCUAACAAGACAAGCUACAGACAAGGAUGGUGGGCUGUGCUGGGAAAAUCUGUGACUGAGGAGCAGAAGGAGGAAACUCACUGACAGCAUCAAAGGACCAUUGUACCCCAACUGAUUUCAGUUAUUGAAUGCUGUGAUAUAGUUAGACUCAUUGCAAGCCAAUUUUUUUAAAGCUUCACAAGUUCCAGGAGUCCAACUGGAAGCUUGAAUUUUCCUACAGUGAAAGAAACGACCCUUCACCCCUCCAGUUUGAAAUCACAAGGGAGGUGAAGGGACACACCACACUAGAGGCUGAUGGUCAAAUGAAGGAAUCGCAAUCACCAGAGCCCAGUUGUCUCUACUGGAGAGCAUCAGUCAGGGAGUUGACAAGUGAGCUGCCCUGGGGAAGGAAGCUUCUUGGGAGUAAUUUUAUCAGGGGAGAAUAAUUUCAGUAAACCUGGUAUUCAAAGUUGCUGAAGAUUUUGCUUUGCUUCUUGAGAACAUCAUAUGGCAUAUGCAGAACAACCAGAGGAUCAGGCCCAGCCAGCAUGGGUUCAUGAAAAGUAGGUAGUCAGCAGGACCAGGGAGGUGAACAGCCCUUCUAUACUCAGAACUGGGGAGGCCUCAUAUCAAGUGCUGUGUUCAGUUUUUGGCCCCUCGCUACAAGAAGGACGCUGAGGUGCUGGAGCAUGUCCGGAGAGGGGCAGUAAUAUUGAUAAAGGGUCUGGAGCACAAGCCUUAUGAAGAACAGCCAGAAGAACUCACAUUGUUCAAUUCAGAGAAGAAGAGGCUCGGGGGAGACCUUAUCACUCUCUACAAAGACCUGAAAGGAUGUUGUGAUGAGAUGGGGAUCGGCCUCUUCUCCCAGAAUUUUCUGUUUGAAAGAAUCUCCACUUUUCUGCCACCAAAUUGUCAUGGGGCUCAUUACCUCCGAUGAGAUGAGCAAUGGUGUGGAAUAACUAAACUGACCUCCUCAAAGAAACUUGCCUGUCAGGGAUAACACAGGAGAACGUGAGCUGAAGGCUCCCUAUGGCAGAGAAGGGAAAAUUAAAUGAAGGUCUCCUUGAUCCUGAGGACAUCAGCUCAGUGAGCAUUGAUGGGAACACCAUGCUGUUUGUGAUUCUCCACCCCUAGUCAAAAAAGACUUGUUCUCAGCACAGCUUUUGAAAGAACCUGGCACCUUUGCAUUCUGGACAAUGGAUGGAGGUAACUACAUGAAAAUCCCUGUGGAAAAUCCCACCUCUCCAUGCCAGUUUUACCUUCUGAUGCCUGCAGGCACUUCCCUGGGGAGAACAGGGCUAUCUAAUUCCGAUCAGGUUGCCUUUCCAUGCACUCUAGCUGCAGCUGCACAAAAGAAAGUUGUCUGUGUCCUCCUAGGCUCAGCUUCUAGUAUUGCUGAAGAGAAUGUAGCAGCCAGUGAAGAGUCACCCCCCCCCCCCCCCCCCCCCCCCCCAAAUCAGGUAGAAGCAUGGAAGUUACAGAGCCAAGCAUUUCAAGCAGAGUCUGUAGCUCCUUCAUCACUGCUUGCCAGGCACAGUCCAUGUAGUGCCCUGUGGCAUCAAGCUGUGGAAGCAGGUCUGGCAUUAGCAUGUUCUGCAGAGCAGGUAAGAUGCUCUGCAUAGAGCCCUGCUGGGGAGAUCUCAUCUGAGCUAGGAACAGUAGAAUUCAUUGACAGUAGUUGUAUUGUUGUUGUCCUUUUUUCCUCUGCCUUUCUGUCCUCUUAGUUUCAUUGAACAUCAUGCAGCUGAGAAUUUACAGGGUUGGCAGGGUCUAGAUUUCAUCUACUGUGAUAUCACUAUUAGAGUAUGAUGAUAAAUGAGGUGUUUUUCCUUGGGGAAGUUAAGUUUUGCAGCCGGCCUUUGCUACCAUUUUUUCUCCCAUACUGCCUGCCAGGCCAAAUGCUUCUUUGUUCAUGUCCUCAGACUUCUUGGAAAUAUCUGGAGAAAAAGCUUGCACUCCUCUAGUUUUAAUGUGGGAGAAUAAUCAAAAAACAUUAAAGGACAAAGCUGUGAAAGUUCUGCCUCAAUUGAAUAUCACCAUCUCUGAGUUACUUAAUCAGAGGCUGCUUUGGUGGCGCUUACUUUUUUACAGUUUUAGUUUUGUUUAAAGUAAAACUUAAAUUAGCCUAGCAUUUGUACCUUAAAUAAUCACUAAGUUUUCUUUGCAUGGUUUCCAACAGAACUGCAUGGGUUUUGUGGUUUUUUUUCUAGGUAACAAGACGAAGCAUAAGGUCAGUGAGACAAUUUUGGUGUCGUUUUCAUAAUAGUGUUUACAAAGGCGAAAAGGUCUUGGGGCAUUUUUUUGGUUGAUUCGUGUACAGUUUUCCCUAUAUUUAAAUGAUUCCAGCUUGCAUACAUCUUUACUGCUUGCAAAAUAAAUCUCAAGUUGACAUCCAAAAUGCUACUGGCAUGGGACACAGUUAUUAUUCCAGUUCUCUUGGCUAAAACAACAUUUUUGUACUACCAGGGGAUUUAUAUGUAACGCAUUUCCUUUAUUACUCUGGACCUUCCAAAAUGACAUGAGAAGAGAACAGAUGACAAAUACAUUAUCUCCUGGAUGUCAAAAAUGUUUCCUUAAAGUUUGAACCAAGGCCUGCUUUUCAGUGAACAGCAGGGCAGAGAUGAGCAGAAAAGCAGAAUGUAGAAGAAUUUUAAUGAGUCUCAUGCUGCCCAAACGCUCUCUUUUGCUGUUUUUCCCCAGACUUUGUGCCACUGAGUAUUUUGGAAUUGCCAUUUCUAGAUCAUUAAAAUAUAAAAGAAAGCAGGUAAUGCAGCUCUUGCAGGGAGAUUUGUGAAAUAAUGAGUUAGGAUGGACUGCAAGAAUCUUUUAGACACGUAAGCAUCCAUCGUCUUGACAGGCAAGUGCUGGGCAAUGCAGAAAGUACUUGCCAGUCACUGACCUGUUUGGGCUGCUGUGAAGCUUCAAGACUCACUCAUUGAAAUGUCUGAGCUGGCACUUCCAAACGUUCUGCUCCUGAUUUUCUCUCCCUUUCUGAUUUUCAUGGCUGCAGAGAUUAGAAAAAUACAUUGCUGCGUCUAGACGCAGUAAUGCGGAAGCUCAAAGCACCCUAUGAACUCCAAUUCUCAAUUUUUCUUCAAACUAGACUUAAUUUUGAAGGCUGAAGACUGACUUUCUGAGAUAGACUCUACAAGCUUAAAAAAAAAAAAAGGGAAAUGCAACAAUAACCUUAAAGGACUGUACAAGUGAGGAAAGUUCAGGUGAAGCAGCAUCACUAUGAAAGGCAGUUCUCUCACAGAAAUUCUUGUGCAAUUUUAGUGAACUGCUGACAUGAAGAGCUGACAAGGUAUUUAGACAAUUCCCACCUAAUACGUUCCUUCUGUCAGGACAAAUUCUGCCAUCUGUUAUUUUUUAGUAGCGAUAAUACUGAACAGUAUAAAGGAGGAAUAGGCGUAAUUCGUAACUAUGUGAGCUUAAAAACAAAAAUCCAGCUACUAGUAACGUGAAUGUAUAACAUGGACUUGAAGGUGUGCUUAUGCAUACAAAGUUUCCCAGUAUCUAAAGAUGUGUUCCAAAAUAUAUCAAAAGCUAUAGCUGAAAUGAUGUCUGAUUGUUAGGCAGUAAAUGCUGAGGUAAGGGCAGAUAGUGGCAUAUCAAUACAAAAGAUAUUAAAACACUCCGCUAAAUUGGACAGUGGUAAACAAUAGAAUUCAGAGGAAGGCUGAGGACAGAACGCUCAACUCAAUAACUAAAAAUAAGAGAAAAAGCUUUACUUGCUAUCCUGCUACAGCUGUCUAUUAUCCAGCAAAGUAUUUGUAGAGGUUUUUUUGUAGUGCUUUCAUCAGUUGCUGUAAAUCGAAGGUCGGUGAGCCUUGCUUCAAUACAAAAGAAGUUAGAUACAAUAAUAAUUAAAUUUAGAGUUUUAAAUAAUGUAAUCCUGAGCUAUAGUGGCUUUUUAAAAGAAAAUCAAAGAGAGCUUGAAAGAUCAUGAGAUAAAAAUGUAAGAGAAAGUAAUUUUGGAAGGAAAACAAAGCAAUAAUUGACCCCUGACAUAUAUUCAGUAUUCAGAAAGAUAUGGAUCGACUUAAUAUACUAAACGCUUAAAAAGGAUAAAAACUAUCACACUUCAGAAUUAAGCACAAUUUCUAAUGAAUGAAAAAAAGAGAAACUUUCCAUGUAUAUACCUGACAUUUCUUUGUUGCCAGUAAGGUAAUUUCUUGAUUUUUUUUCUCCAGCACUAGCUUCUGUCAGGAGCAGAUUGCUGGAGCUGAUGCUGGCUGGUAAUUCAAGUUGCACUUCUGCUGUGCAACUGUAAGGUGAAGGAGACAUUGUGAAGAAACCGAAAAGAUGGGUAAAAGACACAGAAAUAUUUCCCUCUGAGAAGCUGCUUAGAGCAAGUGCGUUCCUUUGAGGAAUCCUUUGUAUCCCUCCCACCCUGCUAAGGUGCCUUAGUUCAGUCACCAGAAAGACAAUAUCCCAGGUGGCCCAUUAGCAAAAAAAAAAAAAAAAAAAAAAGAAUUGCAAAAGCGUACACAGAAGGAAAUAGAAUCCCACUGGCCCUUUUUUUUGUGCUUUGCUCAAGAUUCACAUCAAAGGGAGUUUUGCUGUAAAAAUGUAUUUCUUGUUUCUAUGGAACCUUCUUUGUGAGAAUGCUAAUGUUCUUUCUGUAGCAAGGAAACAUUUUCUUUAAAGCUUUGGCCAAUGAUCCAAUGUUUCCAACUCUAUUCCAAUAAGGUUAGUUCUUCUGAAGUCUAAAGUGCACAAACAAGAUAGAUUGUAGAAGGCUUUCUAAGAGCAGGCUCAUUUCACUGGAGUCACAAGCAAUAUUUUUUAUCCAUAUUUCUAGCAGCAAAAGGCUCUGGUAUGGUAAUUUUUACAUCCUUUACUUUUCUCUUCUCCUUCUUUUGUAUUCACUUCAAUUUAUUUAAAACAAGGGAUGUGCAGCCAUGUAUUUCCUCCUGGAGUGCCAAAAAGCACACAUACUGCACCCACCAGAGAGAUGUGAGACUGAUGGCUUAGGAUACACACACACAGGUCUGCUGGAUCAGGAACAGCAGCUGAGAAGAGAACUGGUCUAGAGAGGAGCAGUCAGACUGCUCUUGGAAGGUGGAUUGCUGGAUGAGGUUUGCUAUUACCACCUUUUUUAUUGCAUCCCUGCCUUAUAGAAGGCGCCCACAGCUGUCAUGGACCCCCUUGUAGUCAGCUGAAUAAGCACAGUUUCCAGUUUUAAAUGUGAUUCCUUUCAUAGCUUUCGAUUUUCCUGUCACCUCAGAAUUAAUAUUUUGGUAAUACUUCCACAUGCUGUCUUCCAGGGGCUCAUACCCAUUUAUUUUUUUCAAAAGCUGCUGAAACAAACUGAAACUCUAACAGAUCUUUGUUUCCCUGCUACCUAGGCUACUCUUGAAAGCUUUAAGCUGUAAGACGUUACAUUAAAAACAAAAUCAACGUUUAUAUGUGCCAUUUUAACCCCAAAAAAUUGUCUUGAAGUUGCAAGUUUUGACAUUCGUCCUGCUCAGAGCAGCAAGAUUACAGCAGAAUUGGUCCUAUGGUCUGUGUAAGCAUCAUAAUCAGAGGGCAACUCUUCCCAGUUCAGUCACAGUUAUGGUGCAGAAAAUUCCAUCUCGAGUAAGGAAGAGAAUAUUGAAGAAAAUAUUUAAAUUUCAUAAUACUUAAUGUAACACAGAAUUAUCCCAGAAUGCACAUCUGAGACAGCAUAAUCUGGGAAUUAGCUGGAGAGACAAUAGCAGUAAAUAUUCUUUCAUUCAAAAAGCCGAGUACUCAAACCACACAAAAGGCACUAAGAAAGUGCUACAGAAGAUAAAGUGAACAAACUGCUGGCCAUGUAAUUAUUCUCCCAGCAGGCUCAUCAAACAAUUCCCAGCAUGCCCUCCUACCUCUUCUGGGGAUGUUUUGACUAAAUCUAACAGAAUAAUAGCUGCAGUCACUUCCUUACACACUCACUUGCGAAACAAAUUGGAUGCAAUGUCAAGUCCUUGAAGGAACUGAUGAUUCUCAUCAGCAGUAUUUGACUGUCAGAUGCAAACCACCUGGCAGAGAUGCAAACCUUUUACAGGCAAUUGGAAAAAAACAUCUCUUUUUUUUCCUAGACUGAGAAAGCCUCAGGGAGGAAAAGUGCUGAAAUGUGCAUAUUUUGUAUGUGAUUUUUUUUUUUAAGAGGAAAGGGAUUUUUUUUUUGUCACGAUAGGUUGCUUCAGGAAAAGGUACUUAUGCUUUUGGAAACUUCUCAAGCAAAUCAAUCAGUUCACUCCAGUUUAUUGCAGAUGUUAUCUUUGCCUUAAUCAGGAAGCAGAAAGGUGAGCAACCCUGACUUCAGGAGCUGUUUCAAGACUCUUGUCCCUUUGUUACAUCUUUUAAUCCUUGUUAUAAGUACUUCAGAACUUGCUUCCAAAACUAAACUAGAACUCAAAGCUUAAUUAGGUGUUUACAUGAAAAUGAUUCCCAAUUUUACUACGUUCUGCUUGGAUCAGAACUGCUAAUGCAAAUCUUUCUUUCUUUCUCUCUAUUACCAACUACAGAAAGUAACCUGGAGCAAGACAUUCACAGUUAGGUCUCUUAUACCCAUUGGCUUCCCAGCUCAGUUUUGAUAACUAUAGAUGUAUUUCAGGUCUGAGUAGCAUUUAACAAUGGUAGCAAUUUUAGCAACUUGUAGGUUUUAGCUGUAGAAAAACUGUAGAAUAAUAGUAUGAUAAAUUUGCAAGAUGAAGUGUGAUUUCUCUGUGCACACCGUGCACCCUAUCGACCAUAAGCAUAAAGCAGUCUUUCUACUCCUUUAGGUUACAAGAAGUUGAGAAGGAAAAUGCAGUUCCCCUCCCUGAUGUGCAGCAAUCUGGUAGUCUCUACUAAUAACCAGGAGCAUGAGUUCAUCAAGAUGUUGUUUUCUGGAUUUAAAUCAAGAACAUCAUUGAAAUCUGCUUUUGCUGUCAGACAUGAGCUAUCCCUUAGGAGGUAAGGACAGGACACCACCUGGAAUAUCCAAGUAGGAUCAUGCUGGUCAUGAUGGAAAAUUGGUGUAAUGUCACAAUGGAGCUGCAAAGCUACUCGAGGCAUCCAUGAGACCUCAGGGUGGAACUGAUAGGAGCUCCCAUUUUGUUAGACCUGGAGUAUUCCAAACCUGUCCACCAUGGGAGAGUUCUGCUCAUGUUGGAUAGCUAUCAAAGUCCAUUUGUCUCUCUCCUACAGGCAAGGAGCUGAAGCAGUAGCUGGCAUAGGUCAAGAUGGUGCUGCUGAAUCAGUUGCUGCUGAGGGAAAAUGACAUGAUUCCCACUGUGUGUGCUAUCUAUGUCUUGUCAUACUUCUGUGAAGGAGAAAAGUUGUGAAUCUCCUGGUACUUCUGAUCAUUUCACAAGUGCAUGUCCUUUAAGGUGAAGAGGGACCAUUAGUCUCUGACCAUGCUUCAAGUGGGUCACAGAGUCUCAUGAAGUUACCGGUGCAACAAGGCAUAUAACUUGCAAGUUAGGAAUAAGACAAAACAAGUCAGCUAGAAUGAAAGCCCUGGGGUGUUACUGCUGCUGCAUCCAUGGAGGGCAGAGGAAUGUGCUCAGAGACUGCCCAGCCAGCACUGGCCAUGCGCUUGCUUCUCUUCUGGCCCAGGCAAAGGUCCUGGCCAUCCUCUUUAAAGUAUCCCUAAGUAUGAGAGGAGCAGUGCUGCCAGGAAUAUUUGCUUGUGAAGCGGUUAUAAAGUGGAAAAUGUUAUCUUAAUGAGCUCUUUCAGUCACCAAAUGCUAGUAAAGCGGAAUCUUUCAGUCACCAAAUGCUAGUAAAGCAGAAUCUUUCAAUUUUGUUCUUUUUUUUCCCCCUUGGUUCUACAUGGUUUACAAGCUUAGGAUAACUGAAGAAUACAACUUGCCUUUAGAGAAACCUCUUCCCACCGUUGACAAUUCAAGAUGUUAGACUUAUUCAAAAUGACAUUUGCAUGUCUAAGUGGAUAGAUCACUUUCAGUGUGAGAGUUACAAAGUCUGCUCUCAUCUGUCACUGAGUUUAUGGAAGUGCAUCUUCUCAGAACAAGCUUCUCUUUUUCUUUCUUUAAGUUCUUACACACAAACUUCACUAACUCCCGUUACAAAAUUAAAACUGUGCUGACACGCAGUUUUUUGUAGUCUUUUGAGUGGUUUAUUGUGUAAUGGCUGAUUUGUUCCAGAUUCCACUUCAAGACUACGUUAACAACAGGGUCAUCCAGAAUGUUCUCCCUUUCUGCUAUUUCAAGAAUUGCAAGUAUUCUUUGUGUUCUAUCAUGCAAAUGUAAAUACGAUCCCCUGGCCUUUGUGAAGCUGAACUGUAAAUGAAACAAUUGGCAAUUUCCUGCAUCUUAGGGUAAGAUUUCUUGUCUUCUUCAGUCCAUAAGAUUCCUGUCUCUCCUUCACCUGGUCUACUUCUCCACCUUUUUCUACAUUUGCUAUGUAUGGGCUGCUUCUGUUUGCCUGUUGUUCUUGAUCUAAUGGAGCCAGCCUCAAGACUGAGUUAACCUGAUUGUGUGGCUGCUGUGCUUACCAGGCCUCCUGCCUGCAGGAACACAAUGCUGCAGGACUUCCUGCAUGUCUGGAGCUGAGCCAGCACAAUUGCACCACAGUCAGUCCCAGGACUUUUUGCUGUGUCUGCAACUGUUGCCACUGAAAUCAGUGGAGCUGAUCCUCUUCCUGCUCAGCCUCUAGAAACUUGUGUCACUGCAUAUUGACAUCUAGGGUUCAUGUGGAAUAGUUUCUUGUGCCAGGAUGGCCAAGGAGGCGGCUUACAGCUGUAACAAAGGGCACAGAAGGACAAGUCCUCAGCACGCUCCUCACCCUCACAGGCACCCAGAUGCUCUUCUCUCUGCCCACUGCAUCUGAAGGCAGAUCCAUCCCUCCGUGCUUCCACCCUUAGAGUCAUUCCCUCAGGUCCCAAAGGCACUGACCCACUGUUUUAGCUGAACAUUUCUAGUUUAGGAAGCGGCCUGAAAAAAAGAGAACAUUCCUUUUCUUUGGGGUAUUUAUUUCCCCGCGCCUAUCUCAUUACAGCCUGGUCUGUUUAAACAUCAAAAGUGCUUGUGUAAAUAUAUACAACAAGGCUAAGUGAUUAGAAUAAUCUGAUGCAAAUUUCCAAGUCUACAAGCGGAUCUGAGAAAUCGACACUGUCGUAAGUUUUAUUUCCACAGCAUGAAUGGAAAUAAUAUAACGAAACAACAGGUUGUACUUCAAAGAGAAGAGAUGUUGAAAUUGUAAUAAGUAAGACAAUUGCUUGGGGGUAGGGCUGGAGCGUGGGGCACAGGGGAAGAACUCUUCUCCCAUGUAGUAGAUGCAUUUUAUUUGUUCAUAAACGCCUGAGAAAGUAAUGACGUAUCUGUGAGCAACGAGGCUCUCUUUUCCAUUAACUUUUGCUUUAGAAGGUUUUCAAAAAUCCUCGUUUACCCUCCGAGGCAAUCUGACUGCUCUGCAGCCCAACCCGCAGGCAGCCCAGCCCCUGCUGUCAUCGCCGAACAGACGAGGAAGGGAGACAUCUAAAGGCAUCCCCGGGAAGUUCACUCUCCUCCUGCACGCGCCGACCUCGGAUUUCGACCACCGGUUUGAUAGAGGCAAGUAUCCCCGUUGUGCAAAAGUAGAUCCAGCGCAGAAACAAAUUAUUUCUGAGAAGCAUUGCGCGGAUUCCCUGCAGUCGUGUCAGAGAGGACAGUCGUGUCUCAGCUCCAGCAGCCACAUACUACAGUAUGCUGCUUGCUUCCUAGCUGCGUUUCUUGAAGAGUUUUUGAUCUGCACUUCCAUGCUUUCCCAUCGCACCCCAAGGUCACUGCUGAAAGGGAAGGUGCAGAUGGAAGCUGAGGUGUAGAGGCACCACCACUCCUACCUGACAGGGGACGUGCAGGAGCAUCAGUAACACACGCAAUAAGCAUUCCAACUUCCAGGAGGCUGCACAGCAUUCCCCACUAGGAGCAAGCAGGAAAGUGGAAAAAGUCUCCUCCACUCCAGAGCUGUCAGUGGAAAUGGCUGUCUUCCCAUCAGGAUAGUGCAGUACAAAGCAGAUGGUGCAUCUGGUCCCGGAUCUGGAGCUGAGGCACCCGCCUCCUUCCCCUCACCUUGUCUGAGAUCGAUGGUAGCUCUGAGGCCCAAAGUGCUCCUUUCUUUCUUUGCCAUCAUUGCCACCCAAAGUGCAGCAGGUCAGGGAGCUGCUGGAGAGGUGACGCAUCAAGGCUGUAAGUAAGGCUUUUUCUAAUUCUUGGCACAGGCGUUUUCAUGAGAAGAAGAAGAAAAAGGUACAUUUUCAAAUCAGUAUUAGGUGAACAGUUCAGAAAUAAAAGCCUUUCCCUUAGAGAUGCAAAUCAUCUGGACUGCUCUAACAUCUUCAGGGCUCUAAUGACCUUAAAGCACUGUCUUUAUGCCAUCCGUAAGACAACCAUAGCUUGAACUGUGAAGGACAAUUUCAUUUCAAGUGACCUGGCUGGAAGCAAUAAAAAUUCAAAGACCAAAUGGAAAGAAAUACUUGCUUAAACACUCACAACUUUAUUUUUAUUUGCAUCACACAGAGCAUUGACCAGUUCUGUAUAACCUUUCUACUCCCUAGAAAUUGCAGUGUUCCGCUGUAGAAAAUGCAAAGAGUGUAAGGUCAAUGUCAAGUCAUAAAACAGCUACAAGUGCAAUUUGAGCAUUUGCAAUUAUGGGAAGAACAAGAAAAAAGGUACUUUAUGCUCCAUCUGGAAUUCUACUCCCUCUGUAAACAGUGUUAAUAAAAUACAGAUGCAAUUCAGGCCACUGGCAUUCAAAAGUCAUUAACAUGAGAAGCUGCUCAGUGGCCUGUAUGAAUCGCAUUUUGUUGGUCUUAGACCAGUGCCCAUCAGACAGACAUCUACAUUACAGCUAGUGCCAGGACCAAGUGCUGCAAUGCAUUUUCUCUCUGAAUUCCCCUUUUGGAAGUAAAGCUAAUCACUUUUGGACACCACAGAGUCCCUCCUCCCCAGCACCGCUGGUGUCCAUGCCAUACGUGAGCUCUGCAUCCAUCUGCAAGGCUGCUGGGCCAGGAUUGAAAUACAAAUAUGUACAGAGAGCCAUGGCUGACCUUAGUGCAGCAAGUAAGAACUGUCAAACUGUUCUAUAUGGUGAGGGCUGGUGCCUCUAUAACGUGUGCCUGUACAGAACCAGUUCUACAUGCUAAAUGUAGUCAAAGGCUGGCAAAAAGAUGCAGCGUGCCUGCGAGGCAGCUCUCUGGGUGCAUGAUAACCAACACAGACAGGACUAUGUUAUCAUGAAAGAAAACUAUGUACAUACUUUGUAUCUGCCAUUGGAUUUUGGCCUUGCAAGAAGAACUUCCAUGUGUGCUUCGUGCCCCUUUUAGCGUUUUAUGAACCCUUUGAGUCGGUGUUUGUCUGCUGUGGUGUCCAAAGCAAAGUACAAUGUGGCUUUGCAAGAAGUCUCUAAAUAAUCAAAGGAAAAAUAUUUGUAAACACAUCUCUUGUCUGCCAUGCAGCUUCUCCCUAAUGUGACACGGAUUUUUCCCCACAGGAGGCUGCUAAAUUAUUGCUUAAUACUGAGGCAGCAUCUCACAUACUCCCUCUGGGUUGUCCUCUCACUAUAUAAAGUAGCCUUCACUUCCAGCUAGCAUGAGCCUUAUCCCUCUGGGAGCCACCAGUUUCCACCCCACUUUUCGCAGGAUCAUCCUCUCUGAGAAAUACAGCCGUUUGCUACCAGCUGAGCAUGCCGUACUCCUCCACUCAGGCAGGUUUCAAGCCUCGUUGGAUCCAUAUGCUCCAAAUGAUCCUGCUGAUUUUUCUCCUGGUUUCUGCAUGGGGAUGACUUGUGACUGUCUCAUCCAUGCAAAGGCUGCCAUAUGCUCUUGGGUACCAGCAGGAGCAAGACAGGACGGAUUAUGACCUUCAGAGGACUGCAGCUGCCACCAAAGAAGUACAGGACCUAUGUAGCAUGGCUGCAACGGCAAACAGCUCAGCUAGGGUGCCAGCAGCAUCACAUGGAGAUGGCACUGGAGGGCUCUCACUGUUUGUGAAAGGAUAUUUCACCAAAGGAGCUGAGCUUGGCUGGAAGAAGAAUCCCACGUCCUUUGGCUUCGCGGGUCAGCUCACUGAUUGGUACGAAUGGCACUUCUCUGUCAGCUCCAGCAACGUCUGUCACCCCAGGAUGUGCUCCCCUGCUGGGCUGCAGCUUACAAGGUAAGAAGAAGCGGGAAGGUGCAGCAGGACUUGGUAGAUGAUCACACAGUAUCUGCUAACGUUCAGAGGUGCCAUGGAGGCUCAUCUGACAGCAACAGACAAAGGCUGGGGUAAUUACGGGGCUUGCUGAUGCUGGAGCAUCUGCAGAGAGACUACGCACACCUGGCCUAUCAAAGCAGGCCCUGAGGAAGCAGGUGAGGAGGCAGGUUAUAAACAGGGGAGCAGAGCAUUAGGGAGCUAUGAGCUUUCUGAUCCAGAGGAGCAGUAUCUGAGGUCCUGUUCUAGAGCUGUUUUCCCCAGGGGUAAGUGCUGGUGUAGCUCUAUACAAGUGCAGCUAGUGGCAAUGAGCAGAGGUGCUUUGCAGGCGUGGGGAGGUGGGGGGAAAGCUGGUGCUGGAGAGUGCUUUCCAUGUGUGUGAGCUCUGAUGCUUUUAAGGGUGGCUACCCUGGGCCAUGUGAGGUGCCUGUUUCUGCAUCUUGCAGUCUCAUGGCUGAGCUUGGGGUGAGAUCUGAGCAUUCUGUGGUGCAGCAGCCAUGUAGGACUCCAGGGAAUGGUAGAUGUGCAUUUGCAUUCUAGUACCAGCACUGUUUGGGCAUGAGUUCCCUCAACCUUUCCUCAUAGGAGAGGUGCUCCAGCCCUCUGGUCAUCUUAGUGGCUGUCCUCUGGACCUGCUCCAAGUGCUCCACAUCCUUAUCCUCGUGGCUCUGUGAAGUGUAUGACAAAAGAAGAGUGUUCCUUUAAAAGUGUGAUAAACUCAGAAGGUAUCCCCUAUGAUUUAUGCUGGCACUAUCUGGUUGGAAAUCAUUUCUUGUGGCAGAUGAGAGGAGUCUGUUUGUGCAGCAUUGGUAUGUAAAUGUCACAAUGGGUUCUUACUUUGAAAUAUAUGUCAUGCCAAGCAAGCAGGGGAAAUAUGCAAGGAGUGCAAUUUAUCAUUCAGCUUCCAAAUUAUUCCUUACGUUUCAAGUCCAGUCAUGGUGCUUUUGUGUGCUAAAUGUCCCUUAAAACACUGUGUAGUGCUUCUUGUGAAGUUCCCUUGGAACUUUGCCAUGCAAACAUGAGCCCCAAGGUUAAGCUCUGUGUAAUGCUUCUUUGGCCUAUGCUUCCAGACUUAAGAGGACAGUGCAGGAGAAGCCAGUUGUGAGCAUAUGGUAUUGUUUCUGCAGCCCUCUGUUCCAACGCGCUCAACAUGGCUUUGGUUUUCAGCUGUUGAUAUUGUAACAUCUUUAUUUACCUUUUUGAUGCUGUCUCUUUUUCUCACUUAAAGCUACACUCAGCAGAUUUUGUUCAUUCCUUUUAAUAAGGGAAAAGUAUUGAUAAAUACUUUGCAUAAAGUUGCAGAUGCAGUCUGUUGUCCCUAAGGCAGAAGUAGAGUGAAAAUACCAACUUAAUGGGAUUCAUUUCAAGGCUGGUAGAGGCUGCAGCGUUUGAAUUACUGCUGGCUUCCAAG
ensembl:lncRNA